CAGCAGAACCACUGAGCUAAAUCCCCAGCUUGAUUUGAUAUCUAUAGAGUAAUGCUGACCUCAUACAUCUCUUCUGGAAAAUAAUAGCUCCUCCAAGCCAGUGUCCUCGCCCAAGUCCUACAGCACAGUAGUGUCCCUGACAUGCACCUGGAAGGCUGCUCCAUAAGCUUACCUCUGUCAGCUCCAUGCGACCUGAUAACUUGAUUUGAAACUGACACUGCAUCGGAAGGGUUGUCAACAAGAUCUAGGCUUCAGAAAAUGACAGAUACAAGUAAGGCCCACGUAUGGGGCAAAGAAUCAGAAUGAUGAAAAAAGUCUAAUACUAUAGGUGGAGCCAUGUUUACUCUUUCAACUAUGUGUCACAAGACUUGAGGAAAGAAUGAAUGACUUCAAAGUCAAGAGAAAAAAAACACUAAAAAUCUCUACUUACAUCCAAAUUUUAAAAAAUAAAGUCUGUAGAUUACCAAUCAGAUCAUUG
rnacentral:lncRNA from 1 species